rnacentral:rRNA from 1 species
AUGACGUUCGGGUCUGUCAUCGAGAGGAACGUGGCGCGGCCACUCAUGAGGCUGGUCACCAUGGGCGGCGCGCCGAUCCUGCAGCAGCUCCACCUGGAGGAACGGCUGCUGCGCCGCACCAGCGAUAACUGGUGCAUCGUCAACGAUGGCACGGCUCCGCCCACCAUUGUCAUGGGUGUCUCUGGGAAGGUCUCUGAGCUUGUCGACAUACGGCCUGUGCUUCAAGAUCAUGUGCCGGUGGUAAGGCGGUUCAGUGGAGGUGGCACUGUCAUUGUUGAUCAAGGCACAGUCUUCGUCACCUUCAUAUGCAACAAGACUGCCGUCGGUGGGUUGCAGCCGUUUCCCCGCGACAUCAUGUCAUGGACAGGCCAGCUGUAUGGUAAAGUCUUCCGUGGAUUCGGCGAAUUUCAUCUGCGUGAAAAUGACUAUGCAUUCGAUCAUCGAAAGUUUGGUGGAAAUGCUCAGUCCAUAACGAAAGAUCGUUGGGUACACCACACAUCAUUCUUAUGGGAUUAUGAUGUGAAAAAUAUGAGUUAUCUAAAAAACCCACAACGUGCUCCUGAAUAUCGCCAGGCGAGGGACCACACUGAUUUCCUGUGCCGCAUGAACGAGUACGUGCCAUCACGGUCAGUGUUCACCGAAGGGAUAACCGCGGCCCUCGGAGACCACUUUACGGUCCAACACACAGAGCUAGAAACAGCACUCUCGGACCACGAUGACUUCGUGCCUUCUACGAAGGUGCUAUCGCCGCAGGACUUACAAGACAUCAUCUCCUCAAAAGAGCCCCCCACAGCACAGAGAGGUGAAGGAUGGCCACGGUGA